AGCAUCAUCCAGCAUCUGAACAAUGGCCGUAAGAACUGCAAGGAGUUUGAAGAGUUUUUGAAAGAAAGGGCAUCAAUUGAAGAGAAGUAUGGCAAAGAUCUGCUGAAUCUUUCCAGGAAGAAGCCAUGUGGACAGUCCGAGAUUAAUACCUUGAAGAGAGCCCUUGAUGUCUUCAAGCAGCAAGUGGACAAUGUGGCCCAGUGUCACAUUCAACUUGCGCAGACUCUGAGAGAGGAGGCCAGGAAGAUGGAAGAAUUCAGGGAAAAGCAGAAGCUGCAGCGGAAAAAGACAGAAACCAUCAUGGAUGCUGCCCACAAACAGAGGAACUCGCAGUUCAAGAAAGCCAUGGACGCCAAGAAGAAUUACGAGCAGAAGUGCCGGGACAAGGAUGAGGCAGAGCAGGCUGUCCACCGCAGUG
rnacentral:lncRNA from 1 species